rnacentral:rRNA from 1 species
UACAGAGGGUGCGAGCGUUACUCGGAAUUACUGGGCGUAAAGCGCGCGUAGGCGGUUUUGUAAGUCGGGUGUGAAAUCCCCAAGCUUAACUUGGGAACUGCAUUCGAGACUGCAUAGCUAGAGUAUGGGAGAGGGAAGUGGAAUUUCAGGUGUAGCGGUGAAAUGCGUAGAUAUCUGAAGGAACAUCAGUGGCGAAAGCGACUUCCUGGACCAAUACUGACGCUCAUGUGCGAAAGCGUGGGGAGCAAACAGG